rnacentral:rRNA from 1 species
UACAGGGGGUGCAAACGUUGCUCGGAAUUAUUGGGCGUAAAGCGCGUGUAGGCGGUUCGGUAAGUCCGCUGUGAAAGUCGGGGGCUCAACCCUCGGAUGCCGGUGGAUACUGUCGAGCUUGAGUACGGAAGAGGCGAGUGGAAUUCCUGGUGUAGCGGUGAAAUGCGCAGAUAUCAGGAGGAACACCAAUUGCGAAGGCAGCUCGCUGGGACGUUACUGACGCUGAGACGCGAAAGCGUGGGGAGCAAACAGG